UGCUUAACACAUGCAAGUCGAACGGCAGCACGGACUAGUUUACUAGUUGGGUGGCGAGUGGCGGACGGGUGAGUAACGCGUAGGAAUAUGCCUUAAAGAGUGGGACAACCUGGGGAAACUCAGGCUAAUACCGCAUGAACUCUGAGGAGGAAAGCUGGGGACCGUAAGGCCUGGCGCUUUAAGAGUAGCCUGCGUCCGAUUAGCUAGUUGGUGGGGUAAGGGCCUACCAAGGCGACGAUCGGUAGCUGGUCUGAGAGGAUGAUCAGCCACACUGGGACUGAGACACGGCCCAGACUCCUACGGGAGGCAGCAGUGGGGAAUAUUGGACAAUGGGGGGAACCCUGAUCCAGCAAUGCCGCGUGUGUGAAGAAGGCCUGAGGGUUGUAAAGCACUUUUGUUGGGGAGGAGUCUUGUUAGGUUAAGAGCUAGAUGAGAGGACGUUACCCAAAGAAAAAGCACCGGCUAACUCCGUGCCAGCAGCCGCGGUAAUACGGAGGGUGCGAGCGUUAAUCGGAAUUACUGGG
rnacentral:rRNA from 1 species